AUGUGGGAGAACCUACAGCUGCCUGAGGAAGACAAUCUCCUCCUGGCUGCCUUCAGGUAGAGAUGUAGAACUCUUGGAUUCUCCAGCACCAUGUCUGCCUGCCCGCCGCCACACUUCCUGCUAUGAUGAUAAUGGACUAACAAGCCUCUGAAACUCUAAGGUAGCUCCAAUUAAAUGUUUUCCUUUAUAAGAGUUGCCUUGGUGUCUCUUCACAGCAAUAAAACCCUAACUAAGACAGCCUGGGACAUGCAAACAUAGCUCAGUGAUAAACCAAUUUACUACAAUUUAUAAAAUGAUAUGCUAGGGAAGAAGUGGGUCAGAAAGGACCUGUAAAUAAUGUGGAUGUGACUAUCACGGUUGGGAAAAGAACAUGGCACUAUUGCAUAAGGUUCCAUAGCUGCAGCCCAUGCCUCAGCAUGCCACUGUGAGGCUGAUCGGGUAAAGAAAUUCCCACACCUUCAUCAGGACCUAGAUACACAGAAAUGCCGACAGAGCAAUGAAUCAGAAGUAAUGCUGUCAAGAGGAUAAUGGAUAAACACUAUUUACCUAAAAGAUGGUUUUAUAGUAGUGAAAAAAAAUCAAUGAACUGGAUGUAAAUAUAACAACAUGUAUGCAUCUUUAAAAUGUAAUGAAUGAGUAAAGAAAGCAAGGAAAAAGGUAAUAAUUUCAACAGUUUAAUAAAUUGCGAAACCAAGGAAAACUGAAUACUACUUUUUUAGUAGUAGUCAUGCCUUAAAACCUCAUUGUGCACAUGAGACUAAGUUAAUUAUCACGAGGAAGUUUUUCCCAAAUUGUGCUGCGCGUGAAUAUGCCUAAAAUAAACCGUCCAGUGUCAGACUCUUGAAGUUUGAACCAAAGUGGUGACAGAGUCACACUGAAGCAGAAUUCCCUCCUGCCUCAUGCAGACUGACACCCUGCUGGCCUUGGUGAUCCCAGAGACCCUCACCGGGGAGGAGCAGGGAGAAAAGUUGUGGGGUUCAGAGGUAGUACGCCUAAUGUACGAUAUAUACUCGUGAGCAUGGCCUUAUGCCGCACUGCUACGUACAAUGAAUUUUUGCAAGGGAAACUUAAAAAGUAACCGUUUGGCCCACAGUUUAGUGCUCUAUUACCUUUUUGAGAGGAAGAGUCUGUAUCCAUUCCAUGGAGUUUACAUCAAAGAUAUCAACUGCGUUUUCACUAUACACGGAGAGAUAUGGAGCAUUGUAACCUGGGGGAAGGACAGAAGGACAGAAGGAAGACACAGACUGCUGAUUAUGGUGAACUAGUAAACCCCAAACACUUUGAAAGACCUACCCUAAGCAACUGUAGAAUGGAAUUUUUCAAAACCUCACAGUUAUUAUAUAAGAAUAAUGUUAAAAACAUUUUUGAAGUAAACAUCAAGAAAUCAUAAAGAAAGAACUGUAUUCUUGUCAAACAAGAACUUUCAUUGCACUUUAAAGAGUUGGGCUUUUAAAGCAGUUAAACUGUUGACAGAGAAACAAACAUACGAUGUGAGAAAUGUUUAUGUAAGUGUCCUAUUCCAGAAUGGGAGAGCAAGAGAUGCAUGACACAUGUAUCUAGAGACAUGUAUGCUACAGAUGUGUCACCUGCAGCUGCAUGGCAGGAGCAGAUGCUCACUACACACUUGUGGAAGAAAUGGAGACACGAGCCACGAGUACGUGAUUCACUCGCAUGAUGGCUACCAACAGAAAUGGCUACUCACAGAAAUGAGUUAGAUAGUUUCAUUUUUACUUUACAUUAGAAUGCUCGGCUUAUCUGACUCAGCUACAAAACAACAUUCAUUUACCCGUUAUGUCAUGGAUAAAAAUGUUCAUUUCAGAAGAAAUAAAACACUGUAAAUAGUUAAAUCUGGGUGGUAGGGUCUUUUAUUACAGAUUUCCUUGCUUUUCUGUUAUAAGCCUUACUGUCCUGGAGCACAUUUUCUCACUUGACUUUACCUGGAUGGCCCCAUCCCUCAUCCCUCCACUGUUCCUGCCGCAGGGAGAAGUCCCCACCUCCUGCCCAGUAGUGAUUUACUAGAACUCUGAAUUCCACCCUCUUUGGGCCCUUCUGGGGGCGUUUUAUUCUACUUUCUGCAGUUUUAAAAUAGUCCACCUUUCUUACUGAUCCUCCAAUGGCUCUUUCCUCACAGCAUUCAAACAGGCUCAAGAGAUUUCCACUGCAAACAAAGCACUGCGGAUCAGACACUCUGCUGACAGCAACGGUAACAUGGCACUCUACUGUUCUGCCGGGAGUCUUCCCUAUGCUGUGCAGGCAGAAUGCGUUGCAUCUAUUUCACUCAAGACUUCAUCUCAUAUAGUAAAAUAAUAUGUAUUCAAUAGUGAUUAUUAUUAUUCCGUGAUAAAAGCAUUAAAUGACAUAGCAAUCUUAUUUUUUUACAGAAAAAGUGAAAUAAGUACAUUGAAAUCUAUGUAUAAACCUUGCUAUGGUUUGAAUAUUUGGAACAGGGAGAGCCACUACUUGGAGGUAUGGCCCUGUUGGAAUAAGUGUGUCACUGUGGGUGUGGCUUUAAGACCCUCUUCCGGCCUGGAAGCCAGUCUUCUCCUAGCAGCCUUAGACCUCUCAGCUCCUCCUACAACAUCCUUGCCUGGACUCUGCCAUGUUCCUGUCUUGAUGAUAAUGGACUGAACCUCUGAACCUGUAAGCCAGCCCCAAUUAAAUACUGUCCAUU
rnacentral:lncRNA from 1 species